GAUCAUGGCUCAGGAUGAACGCUGGCGGCGUGCCUAAUACAUGCAAGUCGAACGCUUCACUUCGGUGAAGAGUGGCGAACGGGUGAGUAAUACAUAAGUAACCUGGCAUCUACAGGGGGAUAACUGAUGGAAACGUCAGCUAAGACCGCAUAGGUGUAGAGAUCGCAUGAACUCUAUAUGAAAAGUGCUACGGGACUGGUAGAUGAUGGACUUAUGGCCAUUAGU
rnacentral:rRNA from 1 species